CAGUGCAUUUUUUGAAUUUGCAUCUGGGGAGAAUGUAAACAGCAGCAACAAGAUGAAAAUAUGGUUUCAUCAGACAUUCAGAACAUUUAAGAAACAGUGUCCAUGUUAACUGUGUUUGAGCCCAAGCAUCAUCAAUGUUAAACAUGAGUCCAAGUCCUCUCAUCUUGCCGGAGUAUUGCGCUGACAGGGAUGCUGCUACAUUUUACACCAACAUGUUUAUACUGAGAUUAAGUCUCGAUGCUCAGAUCAUAGAGAAGAGGACAGGGAAUAGGUAUGACCUGAAGACAGCAGGUGAGAGCAGG